rnacentral:rRNA from 1 species
UGGAAACUNUCUGACUUGAGUGCAGAAGGGGAGAGUGGAAUUCCAUGUGUAGCGGUGAAAUGCGUAGAUAUAUGGAGGAACACCAGUGGCGAAAGCGGCUCUCUGGUCUGUCACUGACGCUGAGGCUCGAAAGCGUGGGUAGCGAACAGGAUUAGAUACCCUGGUAGUCCACGCCGUAAACGAUGAGUGCUAGGUGUUAGGCCCUUUCCGGGGCUUAGUGCCGGAGCUAACGCAAUAAGCACUCCGCCUGGGGAGUACGACCGCAAGGUUGGAACUCAAAGGAAUUGACGGGGGCCCGCACAAGCGGUGGAGCAUGUGGUUUAAUUCGAAGCAACGCGAAGAACCUUACCAGGUCUUGACAUCCCGAUGCUAUUCUUAGAGAUAGGAAGUUACUUCGGUACAUCGGAGACAGGUGGUGCAUGGUUGUCGUCAGCUCGUGUCGUGAGAUGUUGGGUUAAGUCCCGCAACGAGCGCAACCCUUAUUGUUAGUUGCCAUCAUUAAGUUGGGCACUCUAGCGAGACUGCCGGUAAUAAACCGGAGGAAGGUGGGGAUGACGUCAAAUCAUCAUGCCCCUUAUGACCUGGGCUACACACGUGCUACAAUGGUCGGUACAACGAGUUGCGAGCCGGUGACGGCAAGCUAAUCUCUGAAAGCCGAUCUCAGUUCGGAUUGGAGGCUGCAACUCGCCUCCAUGAAGUCGGAAUCGCUAGUAAUCGCGGAUCAGCACGCCGCGGUGAAUACGUUCCCGGGCCUUGUACACACCGCCCGUCACACCACGAGAGUUUGUAACACCCGAAGUCGGUGAGGUANCCUUUUAGGG